rnacentral:rRNA from 1 species
UACGGGGGGGCAAGCGUUGUUCGGAAUUACUGGGCGUAAAGGGCGCGUAGGCGGCCUUCUAAGUCGGACGUGAAAUCCCCGGCUUAACCGAGGAACUGCGUCCGAUACUGAAAGGCUUGAAUCCGGGAGAGGGAUGUGGAAUUCCAGGUGUAGCGGUGAAAUGCGUAGAUAUCUGGAGGAACACCGGUGGCGAAGGCGGCAUCCUGGACCGGCAUUGACGCUGAGGCGCGAAAGCUAGGGGAGCAACGGGG